UUCGAUAUAACGAGCAAUAAAAUAAUAUCACGAGCUUUUCUUCCAGGCAUGAGUGAUGAAGAUUGUCGUUAAACUGUACGCGGCCAUUGUGAUAUUACCUACGACGAUAACAUAAAUACAGUGCAUACAAUAUAUAAUUUCAUACGUGGGACUUUUUUGAAUAUUGAGAAAUGCCUCAUAACCAGGAUAGAAUUCUCAGAUGAUGUUCAAUGAUUACUUUUGGAAUGAUUACUUUUGGAACUGGUUUUUUUGUUGUCACAAUCUUCUUGAAAAAUUCAAUAAUCCAUAUCAUCAUCACAUUUAACAUUCGGCAAAGGAUGGCAAAAAUGAUUGUAAGGCUGAAAGCGGUGUUCAAGUUCGUGAUGAAUCCUGAUAGAAAUUGUGUACUAAAGAUGAUAUUAUAAUUUGAUAUUAAAUGAAAUUUUAUACAUAGUGCAAGGCGAUCCACGAAUUCGUUAAUCCAUAUCAUCAUUAUGUUCAACUGACCAAGAACAUGGCAUGUAAAGAUGGUUGCAAGAGUGAAAGAAG
rnacentral:lncRNA from 1 species